AAUAAAGACGCUGGCAAAAAGAAUCCGUCCGGUUUAUUAUACGACCGCUUCCAUAACCGUAACAAGAAGGAUUCAUUGAAACGCAAAAGAGAUCUUCGAGCACAAAACCAUGAUUGUUUACAAGCAGUAAAGAAGCAAGUUUUUGCUUUGACAGAUACUGAACUUGCGUGCUUUGAUACAGAAAAAAAUUGGCUGCGAAAUAAUAUAGCGCCCAGUGAAGAGGUAAUGCGUUGUUGGAACGAUACUUUCUUCAUACGCUUUAAGGAUAUUGGCUGACACCACACCUGAUCGACGCCAGAUUAUCGAACAGUGGCCACGAUUCAACGAUCCUGAGGGGUAUUUGUUGGUAAGUUACGCCAAAGUAACUAGAUUUUUCAUUAAACUCUAGUUUCUAGCAUAAAUAUAUCAAUCCAAAUCGAUAAGAUCCGACUUAAAUUUAUUCAAAAGUUUUGUUUAUCCCGUAUUUCAAAAUUUGAUAUUGUUUUAUUAACAGGUUGACUCGGAUUUCGCUGCAUUAUUUGGCGAGGACAAGUCAUCAUGUUUUUUCAACGAGUGGGAUAAAUUUUCAAAUGACUUUGAAGUAUACCUCAAGCAAUCACAAAUCAAAGAGAAAGUUAGCUUGGCCCUUUCCAAAGAAUUAGAUUCAAAAGAUUUACAAAGAGACUACAGAUACUAUAUCAUCUCUGUGUUAUUCCAUUCCAUCAUAAAACCCGUCCGCACAUCAGAAAAUAAGUUACCAACAAUUGCUCAAGCUCAAAGUGAUGUUUGCAUGGCUUGUGACAGCGAGGACGAGUACGUUAAUGCUGUGAAAGCAAUUCGGGAUGAUUACAAUAUAGCUCGACGACCAUUAUUUCCACGCAUUUUCGUAAUCAGAGAUAAAAGCCAACUUACGAAGUUCUAUGUCGUAUGUAACGGACUGGAAUAUAAAUUACCUUCAUUUUUGCGUUCCAUAGACGUGGCGUUGAAACUAAAAUUUGUCUUCAACCUAGAAUUUGCAGAAAGUGCAGAGCUAUUUUGGGGGUUUUAACGCGCCAUUUCUACCAAAUAAACUACCAAAAUAAGUCAAAGAACAACCAACUUUUGCUGCUGGAGCGAUACUUAUCAAAUAAGCAGUGAACAUGAACGGAAUAAACUGCUUCAAGUGCAGGCAUAUUUUCUAUCAAGCAUCAAUUUAUUUCAAACACCUCACUGGCAUUCAUGGUAUACCAUCUAAUUCUUCUUACAUAUGUACACUUUGCUGCCCGCGAUCCGUGUUUCACUCCAUUUACUCAUUCAAACGACACGUUUUGAAGCAACACCAGAACGAAUUGGAAAUUGCAGCGAAGAAUGUUGAAUAUUCCAAUCCGGAUCAUUGCACUAAAACAGUACUGCCUGCCGUCACGAAAUCAAACGAUGAUGAACCGGCCGCAUCUGCAACGUAUCGUUUAACACCAUCAAAGUCAACAGCAUCGGAAAAAGCAUCUGUUGCGAAUCUCGAGGAAGACACCGAGCAAAAAGCAUCUGAGAAUUUCAUAAGUCUCGACAUAUGAACCAGCCUUCUGACGAUGCCAUUGAACGCUUUAGAAUGUCAUAGGCAGGCUUAUGAAUUCAUUUAUCUUUAUUCAUGCACUCCA